GGGCCUUUAGCUCAGUUGGUUAGAGCAACCGGCUCAUAACCGGUUGGUCCGGGGUUCGAAUCCCUGAAGGCCCACCA
rnacentral:tRNA from 1 species